GACGAACGCUGGCGGCGUGCUUAACACAUGCAAGUCGAACGAGACGAUUGAAAGCUUGCUUUCGAAAGUCGAGUGGCAAACGGGUGAGUAACGCGUAGACAACCUGCCUUUGAGAUGGGGACAACAGUUCGAAAGGGCUGCUAAUACCGAAUGUUGUAUAUUUUCCACAUGGAAGAUAUAUUAAAGAUGGCCUCUAUUUAUAAGCUAUCGCUCAAAGAUGGGUCUGCGUCUGAUUAGCUGGUUGGUGGGGUAACGGCCUACCAAGGCGAUGAUCAGUAGCCGGGCUGAGAGGAUGAACGGCCACAUUGGGACUGAGACACGGCCCAGACUCCUACGGGAGGCAGCAGUGGGGAAUCUUCCACAAUGGACGAAAGUCUGAUGGAGCAACGCCGCGUGAGUGAAGAAGGGUUUCGGCUCGUAAAGCUCUGUUGUCGGGGACGAAUGUGCAGUAUUUGAAUAAAGUACUGUAAUGACGGUACCUGACGAGGAAGCCACGGCUAACUACGUGCCAGCCGCCGCCGUAA
rnacentral:rRNA from 1 species